CAGAAGCAUAUACCUAGAGAGAGAGAGAGCUGGGUUCUCACCAUUCCGUGAAGCUUGAAUCGAUCAGGGGUCCCAGGUGGUGGUGGUAGCUGAGGGUCCGGAGUGCUGAAGACAGGCAGAACCCCCAGCACGAUCAGUCAGGAGAAGAUGAAGUCCCAAUGGAACUGAUGCAGAUUUUGGAUCCAGGCAUCAGAGCA